UGUGUGCUGAAAUAUGCUCUCGUGAUGAGACCAGCAGGGAUCCAUGGGAGUGGGAAUUCUGUAGCAGCCACAACUUGUCCUAGCCCUGGCAGGACCUGGAGCUGCAGCUACAACCCGUGCAGUGGGCCCUCCACCUGCAGUUCUGUGGACCAUGUCUGGGAGAUGCCCUGUGCCAGAGCCCCGCAGUGCCCACACUGCACCCUCAAAGAGAGCCAGGUGGGCACCCGGGCAGUGGAGGGAGAGGAGGGAGUGCCUUUGGUUUCAUUCUGGUGCUAGGAGGGUUUGAAUUCCAUCCAUCUCAGUUCACCUGUGCACAUCCUACAGUUCCCCAAGCUUGGCUGGCCACAGCCUGGGUAACACACCUGUGGAUCCAUAGGUCCAGCUUAAUCUGCCUGCAGGAACAAAGCGUGGAGAGAAAAAGGACUUUGCAGGAAGCCGUCUGCUAACAUCAGAUGUGUCCGAAGAACACUGCGCAGAGAAUGGCUGUUACAGCAUUCAGCCCCUCAGCACCCAGUGCCACAGGGACACCUCCUCGUGCUCCCCAGAGCCAAUAGCUCUGGGGGAAGAAGCAGGAAGGAGGGGGCACUGGUGAGUCCAACAUGUCUGAAGAUGCUCAACUGGAUGCUGUGGCUGCAUGUCCCUCUUUGGGGUUAGAAGAAACUUGAGAGUCUGGGGGAGACAGCACUCUUUUGGCCAUAGACCUGUGAGCAUGAGCUCCCCCAGAAGUUGUGCUGACUCCUGUUCUGCCCACCAGCAGCAGCCACAGCUUUGAGUGCCCCUCUAAUACAUUUAUUACCAUCUA